ACCACGGUGGUCUAGCGGUUAGAACACUGGCCUUGUAAUCCUGGGGUCUCGGGUUCGAUUCCCGGCGGUG
rnacentral:tRNA from 1 species